AGCUUUGUGCAGUGGCAGUAUUAUAGCCAAUCAGGUUUACCUGAGGCGCGAUUAUUGCUAACUGAAAACUUUUCCCACUGUGACAACUUGCAAUAUAGUCAGCAUUGGCGACAUUUGACUGUCUCCAUGAAGA
rnacentral:snRNA from 1 species